rnacentral:lncRNA from 1 species
AUUGUUUGAAUUCAGAAAUUGAAAGAGUACAAAAUUGGUUGAAAGAUUAAUUUAAGUAACAGGUAUGGUUGAGGGAUUAUUUAUAGUUCUAAUUAUAAUUAUUUCUUUUGAAUAGAGUUGUUAUCAGAUUCAAAGAUUGAAGAAGAUAAUUUUUCUUCACAUUUUAUUGAUGAACACCAAGCAAAGUUCACAUUGUCAAAGAGUUUUAAGUUUUAAUAGAUGCAAAAUGUUAUUCUCAAGGAGCUUGCAGAAAUAAAAGUUCUUUUAAAAGAAGUUAUAGAAAUUACGUUUCAGGCUACUUAGGUGAAGUUGCUAGAAUCUGUGGACAAAGUGGUUACACUGGAUAAUAAACUAAAAGAUAAAAUCGAGUAUACUAAUUUGAAAUAUGAUUAAAAGGGACCAAAAGCAAUUCUUUUUGACCGUUACUUGUUAUGAAUUUACUUUUAACAUGACAAUUUGAUAAACUCAGGAGCUUCGUUGUAGGUGUUUAAGUUUGUUUGUGUGCUAAAGUAAGUGUAAUGCUAAACCUUGUUUAGCAUUUUAUUUUCAAAUUUAAUGCUUUUACCUUUCA